rnacentral:rRNA from 1 species
CGAUCCCAUCCCGAACUCGGAAGUGAAACGCAGCUGCGCCGAUGGUAGUGUGGCUCAAGCCAUGCGAGAGUAGGUCAUCGCCAGGGU